GAUGAACGCUGGCGGCGUGCCUAAUACAUGCAAGUCGAGCGAACGGACGAGAAGCUUGCUUCUCUGAUGUUAGCGGCGGACGGGUGAGUAACACGUGGAUAACCUACCUAUAAGACUGGGAUAACUUCGGGAAACCGUAGCUAAUACCGGAUAAUAUUUUGAACCGCAUGGUUCAAAAGUGAAAGACGGUCUUGCUGUCACUUAUAGAUGGAUCCGCGCUGCAUUAGCUAGUUGGUAAGGUAACGGCUUACCAAGGCAACGAUGCAUAGCCGACCUGAGAGGUUGAUCGGCCACACGGGAACUGAGACACGUCCCAGACCCCUACGGGAGGCAGCAGUAGGGAAUCUUCCGCAAAGGGCGAAAGCCUGACGGAGCAACGCCGCGUGAGUGAUGAAGGUCUUCGGAUCGUAAAACUCUGUUAUUAGGGAAGAACAUAUGUGUAAGUAACUGUGCACAUCUUGACGGUACCUAAUCAGAAAGCCACGGCUAACUACGUG
rnacentral:rRNA from 1 species